rnacentral:rRNA from 1 species
ACGGAGGGGACUAGCGUUGUUCGGAUUUACUGGGCGUAAAGGGUGCGUAGGCGGUGUAUUAAGUUAGAAGUGAAAGCCUGGGGCUCAACCCCAGAACUGCUUCUAAAACUAGUACGCUAGAGUAUGGGAGAGGAUAGUGGAAUUCCUAGUGUAGAGGUGAAAUUCUUAGAUAUUAGGAGGAACACCGGUGGCGAAAGCGACUAUCUGGAACAUUACUGACGCUGAGGCACGAAAGCGUGGGGAGCAAACAGG